GGCCAGACUCCUACGGGAGGCAGCAGUGGGGGAUAUCGCACAAUGGGGGGAACCCUGAUGCAGCGACGCCGCGUGGGUGAAGAAGCGCCUCGGCGCGUAAAGCCCUGUCAGCAGGGAAGAAAAUGACGGUACCUGAAGAAGAAGCCCCGGCUAACUACGUGCCAGCAGCCGCGGUAAUACGUAGGGGGCAAGCGUUAUCCGGAUUUACUGGGUGUAAAGGGGGCGCAGACGGCGAUGCAAGCCAGGAGUGAAAGCCCGGGGCCCAACCCCAGGACUGCUCUUGGAACUGCGUGGCUGGAGUGCAGGAGGGGCAGGCGGAAUUCCUGGUGUAGCGGUGAAAUGCGUAGAUAUCAGGAGGAACACCGGUGGCGAAGGCGGCCUGCUGGACUGCAACUGACGUUGAGGCCCGAAAGCGUGGGGAGCAAACAGGAUUAGAUACCCUCGUA
rnacentral:rRNA from 1 species